rnacentral:lncRNA from 1 species
GCUGGCCUCUGCUUAUCUCUUCUCCCUCCAUCUCCAGGGCUGCUGGGAAGCCUAACGCAGCACAGUGAUUUGUAUUCUUUAAGUGUCUCUUGUCUCAUCAAGAAAGGGGCCCAUCUAGGCUGAUAUUGGGGAAAGUCAGACAUUCAAGGAACCCGGCCACAGAGAAGGCAAAGUCCAAAAUGAGAAACCCGCAUACAAACACACCACAGUGAUUCUCUGGAGGGUCCCUCACACUCAAAUAGUCAAUGCGUCAUAAAUAUUAAUUCCCUUCUGUCUCUGAAGAACUUCUCUUAGAGAUCUGUCUGCAUCAUAACUGCUUGCUUACCUCGAUCUCUGUUCACCAGUGGAUUUUAGCUGGUGGGGUACUGGAUGGUGGUGGGCAGGGACUGUCUUAGAAUUCCCAGGGACUAAUACAGAAUCCAGACCAUAGUACGUGUUGAAACAAAAUUAACCAAAUAAAAUUUUAGGGAUAUCUAACAUUCUGGCUAGAAUUCUAUUUAAUUUGAUUAUCACAUCAAACCUGCAUGGUUGGUUU